rnacentral:tRNA from 1 species
GGAGCCGAAGCGCAACUGGUCGCGCGCCCGGUUGUCUCCCGGGAGGCUGCGGGUUGGCUGCGGCCGCUGGCGCGGCCUUGCCCGCUUGCCGGACUCCGUCCGGCACCGGCCCUGCGGGCCGGACGCGUCGAGUCCCGUCGGCUCCG